rnacentral:rRNA from 1 species
GAGUUUGAUCGUGGCUCAGGAUGAACGCUAGCGGCGCGCCUAAUGCAUGCAAGUCGAGCGAUGAGGCACCUUUGGGUGUACAUCAGCGGCAGACGGGUGAGUAACACGUAGGUGACCUACCCCGAAGACGGGGGAUAACAGGUGGAAACAUCUGCUAAUACCCGAUGGACUCUGAGCGGAAGCGAGGAGUAAAGGCUACGGUGCUUCGGGAGGGCCUGCGGCCUAUCAGCUAGUUGGUAGGGUAACGGCCUACCAAGGCGAAGACGGGUAGGGGUGUGAGAGCACGGCCCCCCACAAUGGGACUGAGACACGGCCCAUACUCCUACGGGAGGCAGCAGCAGGGAAUAUUACGCAAUGGGCGGAAGCCUGACGCAGCGACGCCGCGUGGAUGAAG